AGUGAACGCUGGCGGUAGGCCUAACACAUGCAAGUCGAACGGCAGCACAGUAAGAGCUUGCUCUUACGGGUGGCGAGUGGCGGACGGGUGAGGAAUACAUCGGAAUCUACUUUUUCGUGGGGGAUAACGUAGGGAAACUUACGCUAAUACCGCAUACGACCUACGGGUGAAAGCAGGGGAUCUUCGGACCUUGCGCGAUUGAAUGAGCCGAUGUCGGAUUAGCUAGUUGGCGGGGUAAAGGCCCACCAAGGCGACGAUCCGUAGCUGGUCUGAGAGGAUGAUCAGCCACCCUGGAACUGAGACACGGUCCCGACUCCUCCGGGAGGCAGCAGUGGGGAAUAUUGGACAAUGGGCGCAAGCCUGAUCCAGCCAUACCGCGUUGGUGAAGAAGGCCUUCGGGUUGUAAAACCCUUUUGUUGGGAAAGAAAAGCAGCAGGUUAAUACCCCGCUGUUCUGACGGUACCCAAAGAAUAAGCACCGGCUAACUUCGUG
rnacentral:rRNA from 1 species